GACUCAAUGGCACAGCGGUUAGUGUGCUUGCUUUACAUAACCCAUUAAUGUAAAAAGAAUUAAGCAAGAGACCCGUGUUCGAUUCACGGUUGGGUCA